rnacentral:rRNA from 1 species
UACAGAGGGUGCAAGCGUUAAUCGGAAUUACUGGGCGUAAAGCGCGCGUAGGCGGUUGUGUAAGUUGGAUGUGAAAUCCCCGGGCUUAACCUGGGCACUGCAUUCAAAACUGCACGGCUAGAGUAUGGGAGAGGAAGGUAGAAUUCCAGGUGUAGCGGUGAAAUGCGUAGAGAUCUGGAGGAACACCGGUGGCGAAGGCGGCAUCCUGGACCGGCAUUGACGCUGAGGCGCGAAAGCCAGGGGAGCAAACGGG